UUUGAGUUUUUUGCUUCUCUGAUGCGUACUUACUUGCAUUCAAGCUCUGGUUAGGUGGGUAGAUAGCUCUCUCCCUCUUUUCCCUUCUGCUUUUGCUUUGUGUUCCUGUUCUCUGCUGUUUAAGCCGCGGUCGAGAGAUGGCAGAGGGAAGCGAUUUCAGGCAUUGGGACGAGCUAAUACCAGACGCUUUGGGGCUAAUCUUCAGUAAACUUUCACUCCAAGAGAAACUCACCGUUAUUCCUAGGGUCUGCAAAUCAUGGGCCAAAGCAGUACUCGGACCUUACUGCUGGCAAGAGAUUGAUAUUGAAGAAUGGAGCAGUCGAAGGCAACUCGACAAUGUUGAUCGAAUGCUUCAAAUGCUGAUAAAUCGAAGUGGCGGGUCGCUACGCAAGCUCUGCGUUACUGGUCUUCAUAACAGCAGCAUUUUCUUCUCCAUUGCUGAUCAUGCUGGUUCUCUUCAAACAUUGCGACUGCCAAGGAGCAAUAUAAGCGAUGCGGUAGCAGAACAAAUUGCCGGAAGGCUUUGUGCAGUUACUUUUUUGGAUCUAAGCUAUUGUGAUAAAAUCAGUGCCUGUGGUUUAGAGUCCAUAGGAAAGAAUUGCAAAGCUUUAGUUGGAAUGUGUCGUAACUUGCAUCCGCUACAUACAGCAGGUAUAUCCUCCCCUGACGAUGAAGCUUAUACUAUUGCAGCUACAAUGCCGAAACUCAAGCAUCUUGAAAUGGCUUAUCACCCUCUUAGCACCAAAAGUUUACUGACAAUACUUUCAAGUUGCCCCAACCUCGAGUUCCUUGAUUUGAGAGGGUGUUGGGAUGUAAGGCUAGAAGACAAGUUUCUUGCCGAGAAGUUCCCAAAACUAAGAGUUUUGGGGCCUCUCGUUAGGGACGUCUACGAGAGAAAUGAAUGGGAUGAAGGCUCAGACUACUCAUACAUAUCAGACGACUUGGCGUGGGACUUUUCUGCAGAUUACUUCGACGAUGCUGGUAGUUACGACGAUCCAUGGGACGAUGAAGGCAGACUAGAAGGACUAGAGUUGAGAUUUUAUGAAGGAAUUGAUGAAGAUAAUGAAGCCUUUGGUUGGCCUGCCUCCCCUUAACUGUGGAGAGUGAUGUUGUUUUUGGUUGUGAAACUGUUUGCUCUUUUUUUCCUUCUUCCUACUUGGUAUCAACUCGAUGCUUUUAGAACUUAUGUGGACUUGUAAAUUCUCUAAUAGAAAUUGAAGUGUGG
rnacentral:misc_RNA from 1 species